rnacentral:tRNA from 1 species
AUAAAAAUAAGUUAAAUUAAACUAUUAGUUUCAUAAUCUAAAUAUAAGAUUUAUUCUUUUUUUAUA